rnacentral:lncRNA from 1 species
CCAGGCUGCUGUGCUGCAGCCGGCAGCCUCACGCGUGUCUCUUGCAGCUUGGCGUCUUCACGGCUGUAUCCGGCGUUUCGGUAACGGGCAAGGCAACUACCCCUUCCCGGUGCUUAAAGACCGUCAGCACAGCCUGUCUCUGCUCGUUGGAGCUCCUCGGUGUCGGUGGGGACUGCAACUUCCCAGCUGCUCCGUGGUGCUCACAAACCGGGAAUGCCUGUGGCCACACGCUCCGCUUCCACUGAUGUCUCAUGCGCAGGCAGAGCUGCCUCGGUGCGGUCGCAGCGGAGGGGUGGUCCGCUGAAGGGGGACAUCUUGAAGAGAAGCAGCUAGACGUCAUGAUGCAGUUGUUCAUUUUGGUCAUCGCCUCUGAGGUAAGCAUCCAAGUACAGGAGGAACAAUCUAGGAGAUGUAUCAAAAAGGUAACAGGUUUGAAACAGAGGCAGGUAAAUUAAGUGCUGUCAUUCUUCCAUGUAGUUAAAGAGUGAGAGAAUUGUUGGUUAAACACGUGUAUACGAAGGUUUGAGAAAGGAUAUUGAACGGUACAAUAAUACUGAACCAGACUAAGGUUUCAUGGAAGAUGGCAUAGGUGUGUACUAGUGAUGUGCCUGCCUGUCUAAUAACCUGGCCCUAGUUGCUGUAUGUUUUGUUUCCAAAUUGUUUACCCUGUAAUGUAUGAUGUCAAGUGCUGUUAUAACACCUUUCCUUUAAGGAAAAGAAAAAAAAGAAAAAGAACAUGGUAAAGAGAAAAAGAACAUGCAUGUUCCACCUUGGAUAACUAAGGUAACUAUUGAUAACAAAUCGCUGUUAUUUCUGUCUCCCAGGGGCAGCACUGAGGACCAAGUAACCCAUUCUUACCCUUUGGAUAUUGUUAACUGUAUCUGCCUUAGUUUUGUUCUGGUUGUUUCUGUUUGGCGUUGUUAUCUUACAUACGUAUGUGAAAAGGGAAAGAUAUAAUACUUGUUAGAUUAAUUGCUAUGGCUGAAAUUGAACAGACCAGGAAAACGUAAGCAAGCUGAUGUAAUAAAAUCAAGUGGAACCAACUGAAAGCUGUCUCC